GAUGAACGCUGGCGGCGUGCCUAAUACAUGCAAGUCGAGCGAACGGACGAGAAGCUUGCUUCUCUGAUGUUAGCGGCGGACGGGUGAGUAACACGUGGAUAACCUACCUAUAAGACUGGGAUAACUUCGGGAAACCGGAGCUAAUACCGGAUAAUAUUUUGAACCGCAUGGUUCAAAAGUGAAAGACGGUCUUGCUGUCACUUAUAGAUGGAUCCGCGCUGCAUUAGCUAGUUGGUAAGGUAACGGCUUACCAAGGCAACGAUGCAUAGCCGACCUGAGAGGGUGAUCGGCCACACUGGAACUGAGACACGGUCCAGAGUCCUACGGGAGGCAGCAGUAGGGAAUCUUGCGCAAUGGGCGAAAGCCUGACGGAGCAACGCCGCGUGAGUGAUGAAGGUCUUCGGAUCGUAAAACUCUGUUAGUAGGGAAGAACAUAUGUGUAAGUAACUGUGCACAUCUUGACGGUACCUAAUCAGAAAGCAACGGCUAACUACGUG
rnacentral:rRNA from 1 species